GCUGGGUGUGGUGGCGCACACCUGUAGUCCCAGCUACUUGGGAGGCUGAGGCAGGAGAAUCACUUGAACCCGGGAGGCGGAGGUUGCAGUGAGCCGAGAUCGUGCCACUGCAUUCCAGCCUGGGUGACAGAGCGAGACACUGUCUCAA
rnacentral:SRP_RNA from 2 species